AUCCAAAUGAUGAGUCACAAAUAAGACGAAAUGCUCAUCCUGAAU
rnacentral:hammerhead_ribozyme from 1 species